rnacentral:sRNA from 1 species
CAGUGACAGUCAUGGGCUCGGCCUCCCUUGAUGAGCUGCUGCGAGUUGACAUCGGCACUCUGGACCUGGCCAGCAGCCGCCUGGACUCAGCCAUGGCUGUGUGCUUUGGCCCUGCAGCUCUGGGCCACCUGCUGGUGUCCACCUCAUCCAACAGAGUCGUGGUGCUGGAUGCUGUGUCGGGCCGCAUCAUCCGGGAGCUGCCUGGUGUCCACCCUGAGCCCUGCCCCUCCUUGACGCUCAGUGAGGACGCCCGCUUCCUGCUGAUUGCCGCCGGCCGGACCAUCAAGGUGUGGGACUACGCGACACAGGCCAGCCCAGGCCCCCAGGUGUACAUCGGCCACUCGGAACCCGUGCAGGCUGUGGCCUUCUCUCCUGACCAGCAGCAGGUCCUCAGCGCAGGGGACGCCGUCUUCCUCUGGGAUGUCCUGGCCGCUACUGAGAGGCAAGUGCCUGCUCUCAGCUGUGUCUGCCUAGGCCCCCCAGGCCCUCCUGAAACCCUCUCUCCUCCCUCUCCAGCGACCAAAGCUUCCCCGGGGCCCCCCCAGCCUGCAAGACAGGCCUGGGCGCAGGACCGCUGGAGGACGCAGCAUCCAGGGCCAGCGAGCUCCCCCGGCAGCAGGUCCCCAAGCCAUCUCAGGCAUCUCCACCACGGCUGGGCGUCUGUGCCAGGCCUCCCGAAGGUGGCGAUGGCGCCAGGGACACCAGGAAUUCGGGGGCCCCACGCACCACCUACCUGGCUUCCUGCAAGGCCUUCACGCCUGCCAGGGUCAGCUGCAGCCCCCACUCUGCCAAGGGCACUUGCCUGCCUCCCGCCAGCGGUGGGUGGCUGCGUCUGAAGGCUGUCGUCGGCUACAGCGGGAAUGGGCGGGCCAACAUGGUCUGGAGGCCGGACACAGGCUUCUUUGCCUACACGUGCGGCCGCCUGGUGGUGGUGGAGGACCUGCACUCCGGCGCGCAGCAGCACUGGUCCGGCCACUCUGCGGAGAUCUCCACGCUGGCCCUCAGCCACAGUGCCCAGGUCCUGGCCUCUGCCUCGGGCCGCAGCAGCACGACCGCCCAUUGUCAGAUCCGCGUCUGGGACGUGUCUGGCGGCCUCUGCCAGCAUCUCAUUUUCCCCCAUAGCACCACCGUGCUGGCCCUGGCCUUCUCACCAGAUGACAGGCUUCUUGUCACACUGGGGGACCACGAUGGCCGCACCCUCGCCCUGUGGGGCACGGCCACCUAUGACCUCGUGUCCUCCACCCGCCUCCCGGAGCCGGUGCAUGGCGUGGCCUUCAACCCCUGGGACACCGGCGAGCUCACCUGUGUGGGCCAGGGCACUGUCACCUUCUGGCUCCUUCAGCUGCGCGGGGCAGACAUCAGCCUUCAGGUGCGUCGAGAGCCGGUCCCAGAGGCAGUGGGGGCUGGAGAGCUGACCUCGCUCUGCUACGGGGCACCCCCCCUGCUCUAUUGUGGCACCAGCUCUGGCCAGGUCUGUGUCUGGGACACGCGUGCUGGCCGCUGCUUCCUGUCCUGGGAGGCGGACGACGGUGGCAUUGGGCUGUUGCUGUUCUCGGGUUCUCGAUUGGUCAGCGGCAGCAGCACGGGGCGGCUGUGCCUGUGGGCUGUGGGGGCUGUGUCGGAGCUGAGGUGCAAGGGCUCAGGCGCCAGGUCCAGUUCUGUGUUCAUGGAACACGAGCUGGUGCUGGACGGGGCUGUGGUGAGCGCCAGCUUCGAUGACAGCGUGGACAUGGGCGUCGUGGGCACCACGGCGGGCACGCUGUGGUUUGUCAGCUGGGCCGAGGGCACCAGCACGCGUCUCAUCAGUGGCCACAGGAGCAAGGUGAGGGACUUCCAGCCUGGGCGGAGGCGGGGCAGCCGAACCUGGUGCCCUCCCUGCCUGCCGGCUCCAUCUCCACCAGCCCAGAUGAUUCCAAGUCCUGCCGUCACUGGCUCGCAGCGGCCGCCUUGGGGUUCCCAGCGGGGAAGUCUUGGGUGUGCACGUCCCUCAAAGCCGUCCCGGUUGUGUCUGCACCAGCGAGCCGCCUGGCAGGCCUUGCAGGUCUUCUCAAACCGUCCUUUCCCUGCUAUUGCUUUGCGUUUUUUUGUUUGUUUGUUUUUUGUUUUUUGUAAUUGUCAAAGAAAUCACAUCAGUCCGGGCGUGGUGGUUCAUGCCUGUGAUCCCAGCACUCUGGGAGGCCGAGGCCGGUGGAUCACCUGAGGUCAGGAGUUCGAGACCAGCCUGGUCAACAUGGCGAAAUCCCAUCUCUACUGAAAAUACAAAAAUUAGCCGGGCCUCUUGAUGUAUACCUGUAAUCCCAGCUACUCUGGAGGCUGAGACAAGAGACUCGCUUGAACCCAGGAGGCAGAGGUUGCAGUGAACCAAGAUUGCACCACUGCACUCCAGCCUGGGCGACAGAGUGAGACUCCAUCUCAAAGG